GAUGAACGCUGGCGGCGUGCCUAAUACAUGCAAGUCGAGCGAUCAGACGAGGAGCUUGCUCCUCUGACGUUAGCGGCGGACGGGUGAGUAACACGUGGAUAACCUACCUAUAAGACUGGGAUAACCUCGGGAAACCGGCUCUAAUACCGGAUAAUAUAUUGAACCGCAUGGUUCAGUAGUGAAAGACGGUUUUGCUGUCACUUAUAGAUGGAUCCGCGCCGCAUUAGCUAGUUGGUAUGGUAACGGCUUACCAAGGCAACGAUGCGUAGCCGACCUGAGAGGGUGAUCGGCCACACUGGAACAGAGACACGGUCCAGACUCCUACGGGAGGCAGCGGUAGGGAAGCUUCCGCAAUGGGCGAAAGCCUGACGGAGCAACGCAGCGUGAGUGAUGAAGGUCUUCGGAUCGUAAAGCUCUGUUAUUAGGGAGGAACAAAUGUGUAAGUAACUAUGCUCGUCUUGACGGUACCUAAUCAGAAAGCCACGGCUAACUACGUG
rnacentral:rRNA from 1 species